rnacentral:rRNA from 1 species
UAGUGGCGGACGGGUGAGUAACGCGUGGGAAUCUGCCCUCAGGAGGGGGAUAACGGUUGGAAACGACCGCUAAUACCCCAUAUGCCGAGAGGUGAAACGAAAUUCGCCUGAGGAUGAGCCCGCGUCUGAUUAGCUAGUUGGGGGGGUAAGGGCCUACCAAGGCAUCGAUCAGUAGCUGGUCUGAGAGGAUGAUCAGCCACACUGGGACUGAGACACGGCCCAGACUCCUACGGGAGGCAGCAGUGGGGAAUUUUCCGCAAUGGGCGCAAGCCUGACGGAGCAACGCCGCGUGAGGGAUGAAGGCCUCUGGGCUGUAAACCUCUUUUCUCAAGGAAGAAGAACNGACGGUACUUGAGGAAUAAGCCACGGCUAA